CAGAUAAUAAUUUAAAUAAGAAUACUAAUUUUGGGGAUUAGAAGUAAAUUAAUAUUUUUAUCUGA
rnacentral:tRNA from 1 species